UACGUAGGGUGCGAGCGUUGUCCGGAAUUAUUGGGCGUAAAGAGCUCGUAGGCGGUCUGUUGCGUCCGCUGUGAAAACUCGGGGCUUAACCCCGAGCCUGCAGUGGAUACGGGCAGACUAGAGGUAGGUAGGGGAGAAUGGAAUUCCCGGUGUAGCGGUGAAAUGCGCAGAUAUCGGGAGGAACACCGGUGGCGAAGGCGGUUCUCUGGGCCUUACCUGACGCUGAGACGCGAAAGCGUGGGGAGCGAACCGG
rnacentral:rRNA from 1 species